rnacentral:rRNA from 1 species
CCUACGGGUGGCAGCAGUGAGGAAUAUUGGUCAAUGGACGCAAGUCUGAACCAGCCAUGCCGCGUGCAGGAAGACGGCUCUAUGAGUUGUAAACUGCUUUUGUACGAGGGUAAACGCAGAUACGCGUAUCUGUCUGAAAGUAUCGUACGAAUAAGGAUCGGCUAACUCCGUGCCAGCAGCCGCGGUAAUACGGAGGAUUCAAGCGUUAUCCGGAUUUAUUGGGUUUAAAGGGUGCGUAGGCGGUCGGAUAAGUUAGAGGUGAAAUCCCGAGGCUCAACUUCGGAAUUGCCUCUGAUACUGUUCGGCGAGAGAGUAGUUGCGGUAGGCGGAAUGUAUGGUGUAGCGGUGAAAUGCUGAGAGAUCAGACAGAACACCGAUUGCGAAGGCAGCUUACCAAGCUACUUCUGACGUUGAGGCACGAAAGCGUGGGGAGCAAACAGGAUUAGAUACCCCGGUAGUC